rnacentral:rRNA from 1 species
AUUGAACGCUGGCGGCAGGCCUAACACAUGCAAGUCGAGCGGAUGAAGGGAGCUUGCUCCUGGAUUCAGCGGCGGACGGGUGAGUAAUGCCUAGGAAUCUGCCUGGUAGUGGGGGAUAACGUCCGGAAACGGGCGCUAAUACCGCAUACGUCCUGAGGGAGAAAGUGGGGGAUCUUCGGACCUCACGCUAUCAGAUGAGCCUAGGUCGGAUUAGCUAGUUGGUGGGGUAAAGGCCUACCAAGGCGACGAUCCGUAACUGGUCUGAGAGGAUGAUCAGUCACACUGGAAGUGAGACACGGUACAAACUCCUACGGGAGGCAGCAGUGGGGAAUAUUGGACGAUGGGGGAAAGCCUGAUCCAGCCAUGCCGCGUGUGUGAAGAAGGUCCUCGGAUUGUAAAGCACUUUAAGUUGGGAGGAAGGGCAGUAAGUUAAUACCGUGCUGUUUUGACGUUACCAACAGAAUAAGCACCGGCUAACUUCGUG